UUUUUUUUGACUCGAUUAUAUACUGGAUUCGAUUAUAUACAGUGAAAAGAAAUCAAAAACUGUAUAUAAUCGAGUCCGACCUGUAUAUAUAUGGAAUAUAAGCAAUAUGAGAUCAAUAUGAGCGAGCAAAACAAGAGGCACAUUGCAAAAAUCACGCAUCAAAGCUUUUCGCAUACUUUGACGCACACAUACGGCCCAGACAGAGAAGGAUUUGGAUUCACGUUUAUGCUCUUCUUUUUACUCUUAGAAAACACUUCCCAACUUCAUUUUAUAAUGAGGUGUAAUAUUAUCACGCAUUUAUACAACAACACCAGUAGCUAUGUGGAUAACGGGGAUCAGCCUUGAUUCGAUCCCAGUUCACAUCGUUUGUACUAUUUUUUUUUGGGUACAAUCCCAAGCUGACGUUCAGUCGGAGAGAAAGCUCUCAUACAAACAAACAUUUCAAAGCUUUUGAAAAUAUGCUUUCAUUUGUUCAUUUCACCCUUCAGCACACGAAAAAGCAUUUUUUUCCUGCCAAAGAUGAAAUGUUUUCUGCCAACGCUAGUUCGGGUGUAUCACGGUUUUAUUUAAUUCAGCUGUAGUGUGGCGUCCUACUUUCUCUUGUUCAGUCUAACGUACAAUGAAGCUGAAGUAUGCCUGUGUUAACGUCAAAAUAAAUAAAUACGUACAAAACACGCUCCAACUAUCGAAGACAUAUCCAUUUCGUCUAGCUAUGAGAACUUUCAGAUUAUUAAACAUGUCUUAAAGAACAAUCGUUACGUUAAAAAAAAAUGAUUUUCGAGUCAUGAGAGUCUUUCGAGUCAGAAAGUUGUGGACUAUAAAAUAUUAUGAAAAGUUGACCCAUGCUGUAAAAAAAUAGUUGAGAAAAUUUUUUUGACCAGAAACACAGAUUAUAUUUUGGCAACCCUAGUUCGUAAUAGGAGCAAUGGCAAAUAAAGCUCUAUGAAAAAUAUUCAAACUCUCAAUAUAUUCAAUAUUAGUAUCCAAUUUCGUUAAUCCGUACUUCGCGGAAACUGCUGUUUAACGAAAGCAAAGCGCGCAAUGAUCUAACACAACAAAACCACAUUUUGCCAUCGAAGCGCUGGAUGACGUUUCUGUUGUUUCUGUAUCUAUCACUGCUGCCAACAACAGAACGUCAUAAUGGGAGAGAACGUAUCCGAAUGACGACCCGGAGAAAGGACAAUGAAAACAUUAUGCUGGUCCGUCCCUUGAUUGAAUAUUUACUCGUAUACAUCUACUCACGGAUAGGCCCGGAGAAAAAGCUUCCAAUCAACAUGGAAAUUAUGUGCUGCGGGGCGUUAGCAAUUGCUGGGAUGAGUAACAAUAAACUUGGAAGUACAACUUGGUGGAUUGUGCUCCAUAUUGUGAGUUGGUUUUUUGAUAUGUGAUACAUUUGAAUGAUUAAAAGUUUGCAAUUAAGUACGUCUCGACUUUAAAUGUUUGCUCGAUAGCAUAAUCUAGCGGUUUUUCUUUAAAUCUUUGAAUGGGAAUUUUUAUUCAUUUGCAGAACAAAAUAUUUCAAAUUUUUGACAUAAAUGAAUCCAAAAAUGCAGUAGAAUGGAUAAUAUGUAACCGGUAGUUCCAAAAUAGAGCGUGUGACUCUGUCACACUUUUUUAUAGGACACUUGAAGGACGACCAAAAUCUAACUCUCCGCACGAUGUUCAGUUUCCCGCACCUUCUAGUCUCUCACUUCAUCACUCACUCUCGGCGUAUGACAGUUGCCGUUCACCCGAGAAGGGCUUCCAUGGAUCGGGUAGGGAUGAAGGCACUCGCGAGUAGGAUCCAACACAUAAAUACCGAAAAGCUCGGGGUUUCUAGAUUAAUAAGGCUGAUUGUCGACCUCUUGCUCGGCGUGUUAGGAGGAGUCAACGGAGUUCUAUCCUGACUACACUAGAGAGCAGUUAGUGCGCGCCGUGAUUAAAUUGGGUUGACGGUGAGGAAAAGAACCACUUUUGGACGGAUGAAAACUGUGUGUUAGUAGGUUUGAUAUUCGCUUUAAAACUAUCUCAAAGUGUGCAACGUACAGUCACACUUUAUGUGAGAAAAAGGUCCAACAAAGGGCCUUUUUCUUUGUAUUACACACAGUUAUUCGCCAGGAUCAAAGACGCCAUUGUGUUCCUCGGCGCGAUCAGGAUUGAAUAACCAACGAUAGAACUGGUGUUGUAGAAAGUCUCCGUGGCUAAGCAAUCUGGAAAUAUACUAUACCACAUCCAUCCAAGGGAAACAGUCGCACCUCAGCAGUCGAGAGAGGUGCGUGUUUUCUGUCGGUGCUCUGCAGAUUGAGGAGAGGUUUAUUGCACGGUUGGAAGGAAACUGCAUGAACCAGAAACAGAAUUGAAAUCAUCGUACCACUCGCACCGCAGAUAUCACGUCAUCGCCACCCACCCUGAUCCGUCGCCGUGAGCCACAUAAACCUUAUAAACUUCAUAAAACCGCAAGUAGAAGCAUGUGACGUCACAUUUAGAUUUAAAAUAAGUAUUCAGAAGAACCUUAUAUAGGAUAGUUAAUUUAUUCCAAAAGAUUAUUAUAUUGUUGUUUGU